GAACCCCGGCGAGGGGAGUGAAAAAGAACCUGAAACCGUGUACGUACAAGCAGUGGGAGCCCCACCACCAAAGCAUUUGCUGUACCGCGUUGACGGAGCGAAGCGACGUCAAACCGAUAAAACAGCAGUGUAAAGUGAGCCGCAGGGCGCUUUGCGCGACAGCGCAAAGGCAGGCGGUUUCGCGUAGCGAAAGCGAAUGCUUUGGGGUGGGGUGACUGCGUACCUUUUGUAUAAUGGGUCAGCGACUUAUAUUCUGUAGCAAGGUUAACCGAAUAGGGGAGCCGGAGGGAAACCGAGUCUUAAUUGGGCGUUAAGUUGCAGGGUAUAGACCCGAAACCCGGUGAUCUAGCCAUGGGCAGGUUGAAGGUUGGGUAACACUAACUGGAGGACCGAACCGACUAAUGUUGAAAAAUUAGCGGAUGACCUGUGGCUGGGGGUGAAAGGCCAAUCAAACCGGGAGAUAGCUGGUUCUCCCCGAAAGCUAUUUAGGUAGCGCCUCGUGAAUUCAUCUCCGGGGGUAGAGCACUGUUUCGGCUAGGGGGCCAUCCCGGCUUACCAACCCGAUGCAAACUGCGAAUACCGGAGAAUGUUAUCACGGGAGACACACGGCGGGUGCUAACGUCCGUCGUGAAGAGGGAAACAACCCAGACCGCCAGCUAAGGUCCCAAAGUCAUGGUUAAGUGGGAAACGAUGUGGGAAGGCCCAGACAGCCAGGAUGUUGGCUUAGAAGCAGCCAUCAUUUAAAGAAAGCGUAAUAGCUCACUGGUCGAGUCGGCCUGCGCGGAAGAUGUAACGGGGCUAAACCAUGCACCGAAGCUGCGGCAGCGACACUUAUGCGUUGUUGGGUAGGGGAGCGUUCUGUAAGCCUGCGAAGGUGGCCUGUGAGGGUUGCUGGAG
rnacentral:rRNA from 1 species